GUGCUCAGUUUGGCAGCACAUAUAUAAAACUGGAAUGAUGCAAAGAUUAACAUGGCCCCUGUGCAAGGAUGACCAGCAAAUUCCUGAAGCGUUCUAUAUUUUG
rnacentral:snRNA from 1 species